GGGCUGGAGGUACCCCACCGCGGGGUGGUGCUCUGACUGCGGGAACCGUUGAAGAGCUGCCCCCGGGGAGUCAGCGAGGCGCCACUGGUCUCUUAGACAUCUUCUCAAGAUUAUGCUAAGAGAAAUGACUGCACCCUUUUCCUGAGCUAUGGCAGUCAGACCUGGCAGUGGUAACUACUCUACAGAACUCCCAAACCUGGCAAGGAUGCUGCAGAUUUUGGCAGAUUAUGGCUUUGUCCCCACCCAGCACUGAUGAUAUUAUGAAACCUAUACUACAAGAAAUGAUAAUGGAAGU
rnacentral:lncRNA from 1 species